rnacentral:rRNA from 1 species
CCUACGGGAGGCAGCAGUGGGGAAUAUUGCACAAUGGGGGAAACCCUGAUGCAGCGACGCCGCGUGAGUGAAGAAGCGUUUCGGCGCGUAAAGCUCUGUCAGCGGGGAAGAAACACGGUUCGCGAGAGCCGCGGACGGUACCCGACCAAGAAGCCCCGGCUAACUACGUGCCAGCAGCCGCGGUAAUACGUAGGGGGCAAGCGUUAUCCGGAUUCUUUGGGUGUAAAGGGAGCGUAGACGGCGAUGCAAGUCUGAAGUGAAAGGCGGGGGCCCAACCCCUGGACUGCUUUGGAAACUGUAUGGCUUGAGUGCAGGAGAGGUAAGUGGAAUUCCUAGUGUAGCGGUGAAAUGCGUAGAUAUUAGGAGGAACACCAGUGGCGAAGGCGGCUUACUGGACUGUAACUGACGUUGAGGCUCGAAAGCGUGGGGAGCAAACAGGAUUAGAUACCCUUGUAGUC